UGUUCCUUCAGAAGAGAUUAA
ensembl:piRNA 21ur-8746 ncRNA